CACAAAGGGUCCUGGCUCCCUUCUCCCCACUCUGUGCCCGUUUCCUGAAUUAUCAGCCUCUGUUUGUGAUUCUCCUCCAAAGAAGAAUUCCUCCGCUACCAUGGCACCGACUCCUGUUUCAACCCAAAUGGCCUGGGGAAGUCUGUUCUAGUCCUCCACCUCUCUCAAAGGAUUCUUCUGGACCCCCAAGAUCAGUGCUCCUUGUUCUUGGAAACCUGCAGCAUCUUACCUUUUAUAACUGGUAUGCCCAAGUUGGAUGGGUCUAGGAGGAAAGGUACUUUCCACUACUGAUCGAGCUUCUCCCCGAGUCCCCACCUCAUAAGAGAAAAAGCGAUAUAGGACAGCUAAAACAGAUUUCCAGUUCGGAAGUGAAAGGUUAUAAGAUGCGGCCAGAUGGGCUAGGAUAGCAGUUGAAAGAGUCAAAGAGGCAUCAACGAGAGGUCAGACGUUGCAGAGUGAGAAACUUCCCAUAGAAGCAAAUGGAAAUAAAAAUUAUGCCGUGGCAUGAUUGGAACGGGGCAUAAUAAACCUUGACAUUCCC
rnacentral:lncRNA from 1 species